ACGGAGGGAGCGAGCGUUGUUCGGAAUUACUGGGCGUAAAGGGUAUGUAGGCGGCUCUGCAAGUCGCGUGUGAAAGCCCAUUGCUCAACGCUGGGACGGCACGCGAUACUGCAAGGCUUGAGUUCUGGAGAGGUAAGCGGAAUUCCCGGUGUAGCGGUAAAAUGCGUAGAUAUCGGGAGGAACACCAGCGGCGUAGGCGGCUUACUAGCCAGAAACUGACGCUGAGAUGCGAAAGCGAGGGGAGCGAACAG
rnacentral:rRNA from 1 species